GACGAACGCUGGCGGCGUGCUUAACACAUGCAAGUCGAACGGAAAGGCCCCUUUGGGGGUACUCGAGUGGCGAACGGGUGAGUAACACGUGAGUAACCUGCCCUUGACUUCGGGAUAACUUCAGGAAACUGGGGCUAGUACCGGAUAGGAAUCCUUGCUGCAUGGUGGGGGUUGGAAAGCUUCGGCGGUUUUGGAUGGACUCGCGGCUUAUCAGCUUGUUGGUGGGGUAGUGGCUUACCAAGGCUUUGACGGGUAGCCGGCCUGAGAGGGCGACCGGCCACAUUGGGACUGAGAUACGGCCCAGACUCCUACGGGAGGCAGCAGUGGGGAAUAUUGCACAAUGGGCGGAAGCCUGAUGCAGCAACGCCGCGUGCGGGAUGACGGCCUUCGGGUUGUAAACCGCUUUCAGCAGGGGCGAAGCUUGUGGUGACGGUACCUGCAGAAGAAGCACCGGCUAACUACGUG
rnacentral:rRNA from 1 species